rnacentral:ncRNA from 1 species
GUUUGACACGGUCCUACGGUGGCAGGUCUUGCCCCAACUUUUGGCCGUGGCGCGAUGAC